GCGCAGGAAAAGAAACCAACAGGGAUUGCCUUAGUAACUGCGAGUGAAGCGGCAAAAGCUCAAAUUUGAAAUCUGGCGUCUUCGGCGUCCGAGUUGUAAUUUGGAGAGAUUUCUUCGGGGUGAACACCGGUCCAAGUUCCUUGGAACAGGACGUCACAGAGGGUGAGAAUCCCGUGUCUGACCGGUUGCUUCAUUCCAUGUGAAGAGUCUUCGACGAGUCGAGUUGUUUGGGAAUGCAGCUCAAAAUGGGUGGUAAAUUUCAUCUAAAGCUAAAUAUUGGCGAGAGACCGAUAGCGCACAAGUAGAGUGAUCGAAAGAUGAAAAGCACUUUGAAAAGAGAGUUAAAAAGUACGUGAAAUUGUUGAAAGGGAAGCGCUUGAGACCAGACUCAAUUUGUGGUGAACAUCAGUCCUUCUGGGCUGUGCACUUGCCACUUUUUGGGCCAGCAUCGGUUCUGACCGUGUGAUAAAGGUCCUGGGAAUGUAGCUCCUCUCGGGGAGUGUUAUAGCCCAGGGCGUAAUGACAUGAGUUGGGACCGAGGACCGCGCUUCGGCUAGGAUGCUGGCAUAAUGGUCUUCAGCGACCCGUCUUGAAACACGGACCAAGGAGUCUAACAUCUAUGCGAGUGUUCGGGUGGAAAAACCCUUGCUCGUAAUGUAAGUGAACGGACGUGGGAAUCCCUCGUGGUGCGGCAUUCCCUGUU
rnacentral:rRNA from 1 species